rnacentral:rRNA from 1 species
AUUGAACGCUGGCGGCAGGCCUAACACAUGCAAGUCGAGCGGAUGAAGGGAGCUUGCUCCUGGAUUCAGCGGCGGACGGGUGAGUAAUGCCUAGGAAUCUGCCUGGUAGUGGGGGAUAACGUCCGGAAACGGGCGCUACUACCGCAUACGUCCUGCGGGAGAAAGUGGGGGAUCUUCGGACUUCACGCUAUCAGAUGAGCCUAGGUCGGAUUAGCUAGUUGGUGGGGUAAAGGCCUACCAAGGCGACGAUCCGUAACUGGUCUGAGAGGAUGAUCAGUCACACUGGAACUUAGACACGGUCCAGACUCCUACGGGAGGCAGCAGUGGGGAAUAUUGGACAAUGGGCGAAAGCCUGAUCCAGCCAUGCCGCGUGUGUGAAGAAGGUCUUCGGAUUGUAAAGCACUUUAAGUUGGGAGGAAGGGCAGUAAGCUAAUACCUUGCUGUUUUGACGUUACCAACAGAAUAAGCACCGGCUAACUUCGUG